rnacentral:rRNA from 1 species
UUGCUAGAGUUGGAAGAGUUGCGAACGGGUGAGUAACGCGUAGGUAACCUGCCUAUUAGUGGGGGAUAACUAUUGGAAACGAUAGCUAAUACCGCAUAAUAGUGUUUAACACAUGUUAGAGACUUAAAAGAUGCAAUUGCAUCACUAGUAGAUGGACCUGCGUUGUAUUAGCUAGUUGGUGGGGUAACGGCCUACCAAGGCGACGAUACAUAGCCGACCUGAGAGGGUGAUCGGCCACACUGGGACUGAGACACGGCCCAGACUCCUACGGGAGGCAGCAGUAGGGAAUCUUCGGCAAUGGGGGCAACCCUGACCGAGCAACGCCGCGUGAGUGAAGAAGGUUUUCGGAUCGUAAAGCUCUGUUGUAAGAGAAGAACGUGUGUGAGAGUGGAAAGUUCACACAGUGACGGUAACUUACCAGAAAGGGACGGCUAACUACGUGCCAGCAGCCGCGGUAAUACGUAGGUCCCGAGCGUUGUCCGGAUUUAUUGGGCGUAAAGCGAGCGCAGGCGGUUUAAUAAGUCUGAAGUUAAAGGCAGUGGCUUAACCAUUGUUCGCUUUGGAAACUGUUAAACUUGAGUGCAGAAGGGGAGAGUGGAAUUCCAUGUGUAGCGGUGAAAUGCGUAGAUAUAUGGAGGAACACCGGUGGCGAAAGCGGCUCUCUGGUCUGUAACUGACGCUGAGGCUCGAAAGCGUGGGGAGCAAACAGGAUUAGAUACCCUGGUAGUCCACGCCGUAAACGAUGAGUGCUAGGUGUUAGGCCCUUUCCGGGGCUUAGUGCCGCAGCUAACGCAUUAAGCACUCCGCCUGGGGAGUACGACCGCAAGGUUGAAAC